rnacentral:rRNA from 1 species
GUGGGGAAUUUUGGACAAUGGGGGCAACCCUGAUCCAGCAAUGCCGCGUGCAGGAAGAAGGCCUUCGGGUUGUAAACUGCUUUUGUACGGAACGAAACGGUCCUGGUUAAUACCUGGGGCUAAUGACGGUACCGUAAGAAUAAGCACCGGCUAACUACGUGCCAGCAGCCGCGGUAAUACGUAGGGUGCAAGCGUUAAUCGGAAUUACUGGGCGUAAAGCGUGCGCAGGCGGUUUUGUAAGACAGGCGUGAAAUCCCCGGGCUCAACCUGGGAAUUGCGCUUGUGACUGCAAGGCUGGAGUGCGGCAGAGGGGGAUGGAAUUCCGCGUGUAGCAGUGAAAUGCGUAGAUAUGCGGAGGAACACCGAUGGCGAAGGCAAUCCCCUGGGCCUGCACUGACGCUCAUGCACGAAAGCGUGGGGAGCAAACAGGAUUAGAUACCCUGGUAGUCC